GGUCUCCAGGAUUCUUCAUUUGAAAAUGACAACUAUUCUGUGAUAAAGAAAGUCAAGUUUACCCAUAUUCACUGGAUGUCUACAACUGGUGUCGGCUUUCAAAGAGCAUCCGAUACAAGGAGGCAGAAGCAUCAAGAGGCACCCAGUAGUUCAUUGGUUCAACAGUGAUGCGAGAAAUAUAGUUGUCAGGAGCACAAGAUGAUCACGUUUGCUGGUGAUCAUUUUCUCUGCAUGUAGGCAAAAUUACAUCCAGAAGUUAAAUGGGAUUCACGUUUCAUCCAGGAGGGGUUGUGUACACUCGCAGAGAGAGAGAGACUUCUAAAGGAAACACAACCUUUCUGUUGACUUAUACCAUAUUUUUAAAAAUCUCUGUGUUCUGUACAAUCAGCCAACCAAGGAAGUGAAAGGUAAGAAGGAGCUGAAGAGGGAAAAAAAAAACUAUAUUCUCUCACAGGUAUUAUCAUGCUUAUCAUGUUGGA
rnacentral:lncRNA from 1 species